rnacentral:snoRNA from 1 species
AUUAUUGAUGAUGAUGAUCUUAUCUCCUACGUGCAGGCUGGUUUGAAUACCUACUUUGGACCUUUUAUUACCUCUAUUUCUGUAGCAUCUAGGGAUAGAUCACUGUCCUUUGAAGAUUUUCAAGCUAAGUUGCAAUC